GACGAACGCUGGCGGCGUGCUUAACACAUGCAAGUCGAACGGAAAGGCCCUGCUUUUGUGGGGUGCUCGAGUGGCGAACGGGUGAGUAACACGUGAGUAACCUGCCCUUGACUUUGGGAUAACUUCAGGAAACUGGGGCUAAUACCGGAUAGGAGCUCCUGCUGCAUGGUGGGGGUUGGAAAGUUUCGGCGGUUGGGGAUGGACUCGCGGCUUAUCAGCUUGUUGGUGGGGUAGUGGCUUACCAAGGCUUUGACGGGUAGCCGGCCUGAGAGGGUGACCGGCCACAUUGGUACUGACAUACGGCCCAGACUCCUAUGGGUGGCAGCGGUGGGGAAUAUUGCACAAUGGGCGGAAGCCUGAUGCAGCAACGCCGCGUGCGGGAUGACGGCCUUCGGGUUGUAAACCGCUUUCGCCUGUGACGAAGCGUGAGUGACGGUAAUGUGUAAAGAAGCACCGGCUAACUACGUG
rnacentral:rRNA from 1 species